CUUUCCCCCCCUUUCUAUUUUCUCUUUUGUUUUAUUUUUUCGAUAAUUUUCAGAUUUUGAUUCUGUGCUCUUAAUCUGUGAACCAUUUUGUGGGCAAUGCCAGAUCUUAUCUGGGUAUGAGUAUUCAUAUUUGUCUUCUUCUUUUUCCUGGUUUUUGGCUGGCAUGAGUUCCGGUGAAUCUGAAGUUGUUUAGAGAUAGUUUGGGGUCAUUUUCCAGCCCUUGAUGUUGUUAAUUUAGCUCGUUCAUUUGUUUAUCUUUUCUUUCUUCUUUGGAAUAGCAUGAUAAGGCAAAGUGUGAUAAUUUAGCUUAACAACAUUACACCGCACGUAGUUACGUGGCAAACCGGGUCUGAAGAGAAAUUCAUAAACCGGACAAAAGAGAAUAGGGACAAAAGGGUCUGGGUCUGCCUGUUCUCCCCCCUGUCGAAAAGGCUCUCUCUCUCUCUCUCCGCCUUGUUCUUCCGUCUAUAAAUCUUGAAGAUGAAUCCCAUCCUUGAUCGUCUGCGGUCUUGAAAAAAACCAAAACAAUAUACCCACAGAACAAAAACGAAAUUCUACAUUCUCUCUCGCUUUGCCUUCUCUGCAAGUUUAUAUACAUACAAACAAAUUACAUUCCCGCAAAGGCUGGAGAAGGAUACACAGAAUAAAUUACAUUCUCAAAUUAUUUUGGAUUGAAUAUCUCCUUUUGUGGAAAAGAUUAGGGCUGGGUUAGCUGAAAAGGGGAUAAAAGAGUUUAUUCUAGUUGAGAAAAGGGAUUUUUUUAUGUUCCUAGAAAAAGAAGAAAAUGAUUGGAUACUUUGUCUCGGGUGGGAGAUUUGGAAAGAGGCACAAGAGGUUAUUCUGAUGUUUAUUUAAAAAAAAAUACAGAUGCAGCAGCGAGUUCUUUAGUUGCAGACCCAAAUAUCUUCUUAUAGUUUGUGGGUAUAUGGCCUUGUGUUUCUCCUCCAUGUACUUGGCUAUGGCGUAUGGGCUGGACCCACUUUUCUUAUUCAGAGCUAACAGAGCAUCCUUGAUAAUCUGAAAGUGUGGAGUAUGAGCAGCAUUUUUUGGUUGUUUCGGCUUCUACUUGUUGGAGACCUCGACUCUCUUUACUUAACAGGUUUGGAAGACCACAAAGUGGAAGAAGAUGCAGGCGGGAUAAAAUAAAUUAAGUUAAAUUAAAAGAUGUGUGGGACCCAUUGUCAGGGUGUGCAGUGUAGGGAGACGAGUAGAAGAAGUCUUUCCUGGUUUUUGGCUGGCAUGAGUUCCGGUGAAUCUGAAGUAGUUUAGAUAUAGUUUGGGGGACUUAUUUGAGACAGUCAGUCUCCAACAAGUAGAGAGAGAGAGAGAAGUGAGAAGAGAGAUAGAGACCGAGAGACAGAGACGUGAAUGAAUGAAUGAAGUUCUAAAUGAGUUCUUCCUCUGGGCUCAUACUUUUUA